AGGUAAACUGAAUAGAACAUCAGACAGCUCAUUAUAGAGACAAGUAUGCUCCAUUCCCAAAGUUGGAUGACAGAACAAGUCAUGGUGAGUACUGUAAUUUUAGUGCUACCAUACAUCUUCAAGCUGUCUGGAGGUAAAAUGCUUACUAAGCAUUGCAUUUGUGCUGUCAGAAUACUUUAUGGGAUGGUAAUUAAAUAAAGGCAGCACUGUGGAGUUAAGCCAAUAUCUGAUGAAUUCUAGAAAUCUCUUCUAGAAAGGUCUUACUUUGAAUCUUAAGUUUUAGAAGAAGUACGUUUCACAUUUAUUGACUAAUCUUUCAUUAAAAGCACACUUGUGUAGGGUAUUCGCUGAAAACAUUCAUUUAUGUUUUCUUGUGAUAGGUGAAUGCCCAGUUCACCUAGCAGAGAACUCAAUUGUCAGCAUGCUGCCCUUUGAAAUGUUAGUUUCCCCUCUCUCAACUUGUAUGAUCAGUCACUACUUUUAAAUUAUGACUUGGGGUGCCUGGGUGGCUCAGUUGGUUGGGUGUCUGAUUUUGGCUCAAGUCAUGAUCUCAUGGUUUGUGAGUUCGAGCCCCAUGUUUGGGCUCAGUGCUGACGGCUGAGAGCCUGGAGCCUGCUUCAGAUUCUGUCUCCCUUUCUCUCUGCCCUUCCCCUGCUCACAAUCUGUCUCUCUUUCUCUCUCUCAAAAAUAAAUAAACAUUUAAAAAUUUAAAAAAAACUACAAAAAGCUAAAUACAAAGACUGAAAAUGGAGGCAGUUAUCCACUGUUUUCCAAAAGUUUGGUUAUGCCGCUUUGCUUUCAUGAAAAAUCUACAUUAAUACCUGUUUUCACGAAGUGAAAGAAAUCCAAAGAGGAUUUUUGCUUGGUCAGUAAAAGGCAAAGAGGGAAAUAGUGUUCGGUGUUUGUUUGGCAGUGAGCCCUCAUGCAGGCAGUGCUCAUCCCAAGCAGCAAGAGUGGCCCCGCCACACCUCUUCCCUGGGAACUACAUUUCAGCAUCUCAGCAUCAAGCCACCAUAGCUUUGAAUUGUGUCUGUGUACAUCUGUGCUUUAUCUUGAUUCAUUUUGUGCAUCUGUUAGCAAGAUUUGUCCUAAGGUAUCAGAAAAGCCAAAGGGAGGCUAUUUUGGGGGGGGGGUCUGGGAAUGCUCAAAUUUUUUUCUGUAUAAAUUAAUGGUAAUUGCUUCUUCUGAUUAUGCCAUUUCAGCUUAGGAAAGUUUUCGUAAGAACACUGUACUUUUGGAUAGCGGGGUAAAACUGUACUGGAAAGAAGUAUAUUUAUUUCAUUCUUGUCAUUUUUCACUUUUCCUCUGGAAUUUAGUGCCCUAGUUUAAGAUUGAAUUGUACAUAUACCUCAGUAGGGAAUGGAUACGUUUUUCCUUUAUACUUAUUUAUAGAUGUUCAUUUUAAUAGUUACACACUGUAUGAUUGGUAAAAGCAGGCUAUAGACCAGCACUGGGAUCCACAACGGUGGAGCAAAAGCCAAAGGCCAAAUUCUGCCUGCACCUGUUUUUGUAAAUAAAAUUUUGCUUGAAUUCAGGCCAUUUGUUUAUGUAUUGUCUAUAGCUCUUUUCUUGCUACUAUGGCCAAGUUGAAUAGCUGUGGCAGAGACCAGAAAGACCCACAAAGUCUAAAUUAUUUACAAUCUGGUCCUCCACAGAAAAAAUUUAUUGACCCUUGGACUAGCACAUGGAUUUGAAAAUUUUUAAAGGAGUACAUUUUUUGUUUGUGUGUUUUUGUAAUAUGCAGUCAUGAGAAAAAAAUAAAAUGAUUUAUUAUCUCAGAUGAUUUUUAUUUUCUUUCACAGUGAAGAAUAUUUUGCAUUAUUGCUUUAAAUUUUUGAAAGUCUUAGCAAUUUCCUAUAGAAGGAGCUCCUGCUUGGAUGCAAAGCUGUGUACACUGUUAGGUGGAUAGUUAGCAAGCUGGUGUCUCUUCAAAGAUAAAAUAUUUUCCAAACCAUGCUGUGAGAUUGGCAUAGAAGGAAAACUGGGAAUAGGGUUCAGGUGAAUCAGUGAAAUGGCUUCUAACCAUGCAGCUAUUAUAUGCCUGAAAACUGCACGAAUUGAGGUUAGUCUGCAGGCCUUACCAGCUUGUUCCUGGCGAGGCUCCCAAACUCCUCUAACUAUAUCAUGACUGUGACUUCAUUCUCUAAAGCAGACUAUUCCCCCUGGCUGUCUCAAAGACAGUCCCUGGGCCAAUUUUUUUUUAACCUGUCACAUUUACUUUCUUUAAAAAGAAAAGUAAAAGAAACUUGUUAGGAAAUAAAAAGAGUAUAUAAGCUAAGUUAUUUUUUAUUAUUUCAAUUCUUCAUUUUUAUAUAGUUGUAUGUGUAUACACGUGCACAAUUAAAUAAUGCUGAUAGGAUCAUGAGGUAAUGUAGUACUUUCCAAAAUGUAGCUUUGGUAUAGAACAUCUAGCAGAAGGAUAAUAGAUAAUGAUGCAAUGGUUAACAUUACUAUUUUGCAAAAAUUAAAAAGAAAUAAUCAUUCAGAGCCAGUUUGGCAUUUUCCUAUAUGACAUCCUAAUAGGACUUUGAAUUUCAGCUGUCCAUUUCUGUGAAUUUGAAUGCAACAGAGAAGAUGUAGCUUUCACAUAAUUUUCUUCAGUUUAAAAAAUCAUAACCAUUGCAAUGGGAUGCCUUAAGCCUUGGGUCACUUAAAUCAUUUCUGAAGACAGCACGUGCUCUUCAGGGACAUGCAAAAUGAGGAAGGCACUUGUUGGUCACUGUGUCUGUGUCACCUGUAUAGACUUGGUACAGGUCAGUGUGUUUAUGAGUCAGUAAUGAAGAGGAAUAUGAAAUGUUGCAACUUAGCAAAUGUGCUAAAAUGUAAGUAUGAAGAAAAAUGUUUUGAAAGGCUAACCAGUUUAGAAUCACAAAAUAUUUAGAUAUUCUCUCAAUUUAGGAUUGAGAAAAUAGCUGCAUGAGAUAUAAAAAUGAAGAUAUAACUAUUUACAUGGAAAUAUAAUUGUCUAAAAAAAGUCCUCCCUUCAUUUUGAGUUAAACAAAACAAGGGGAUUUUCAGAUCCAAUGGAUUAUAAUGCUAAUUUACAUCAAAUCUUGGAAGGAAGUAACCUAUUUUAUUCUUAUUUGCUGUUGUUUCAAGAUAUAGUAUUCCUACAGUUCUGAAUUACAAUAAUAUGUAGUAAAAUUUUGAGAAAAUAGAUCAGAGGUAAAAAUCUGUGACAUUGGCACAAAUAUAGCCUGCUGACAUUCUAUUGAAUAGAAUUCGUUUUGUGUCUGCGUUUUUCUUUUUGUUUUUUGUUUUAAAAACUAGAAAUUUUGCUAAAAAAUUUAACUCCAAAACCUCAUUGAAAAUCUGGGACAUUUUGAUAUUUAUUUUGUCUUAAAGAGUUUUUUAAACAUAAAUGUUGUGCAAGCACUUGGUAAAAAAUCAAAUGGUACAGAGAGUCAUAAGGAAAUUUUCUUGAUCUCUCAUUUUUACAUUUUCUGAAGUAUUCUUACAUAAAUAUUCAUGCUUACAUGUAUAUAUGAGUGAAAUAAACAAUGAGAUCACAACAAACACUUUUCUAUGCAUAAGUACUUUUAAUUCCUCAUUUUUUAUAACUUGUUUUAACAAUUUUUAUUACUUUAUUGCUUUGUAUUUUCUUUUAUUCUAUUUUUACUGUCAUUGCUUUGGUAUUUUUAAAUUAAAUUCUCACAUUUACUAGAACUUCCUCUUCUCCUCUACUUAAAUGUUUUAUUUCAUAAGUUUCAAAUGCUAUCCCUUUGAUGGUUGAUAGGAUUUGUGGUCAUUGCAGUGGUAGAGAGGAGGGCUUCACAGUGCAAGCAGGGCAGGCAGGGUCCCCAGGCACUUCUGCAAACACCAUGCUACAUCCUUCUUGAAUGAUCUAUCAGUCCUUUAAGUGGCCAUCCAAAUGUUUCUGAAUGUUAUUUUUCUGAACUCACAGCUAACAGCCAUUCCUGGAGAAAUAAUAAUCCUCUUCUUGACAAAAGUAUGGAAAUGUUUAGCUAGAUAAGUGCAUUUGACCCUCUGAUCAACGCAAGAGCCAAAGUGGAGUGCAGAAUCGAGAAUUCAGGUCUUCUGACCUUUAUUCUGAUAUCUUUCCCAAUUCUUUGUAUUGAGUUUGAGGGAUCUGGGGGGAUGAUCAAGGAAAUAGAUAUGACCAUGAGGUGGCAGUAGCACACAAGGAGUUUUAUUUGGACAGAGCUUUGGCAGGUUUGCAUUUGGGGAAAGUCCCUCACAGCAGGAGCCCUUCCAGAGGUAAAGGGUGAAGGCUACUACCCAAAAGAGGCAGAGGGCACAAGGAAGUCUGGGGGAAAGAGGAUCAGAGAGAGUGUUAUGAAUCUAGAUGAUUUUGCUCAGCAGCAUAAUGGAGAGUCUCUGGGUCAGAGAGCUCUGAAGGGCAGCAGAAGCUUGGAGUCUUUUAUAGCCACAGAGUUUAUCUGAUCUAUGGUUAGCAGAUAUUGGGUGCAGUUUUGUGCAUUGUGCAAUGCAGGAAGGCCGUAAAUGGCUAAAAUUCUGCUCAUAUGGGCUUUAUUUAAAACAACUGGAUAUGUAAAAAUUUGGGGUUUUUUGGUGCCCAUGGGGUUUGGAGCUAGUAGGUCCCAGCUUGCUGUAAAGAAGUAAACAACAUAGGGCCAAUGUACAGAAGCCAUCUUUGGCUCACUGAUAUAACAGCUAGUCUGUACUAGUUUUGUUUGUGUAUGUGUAUCUUGUCAUUAUGACAUACUCCCAAUAUACAUAAAAAUAUACAUACCAGUAUAAUGUAUAAUAUGUAUACACCAGCUGUAUUUGUUAACCUUAUUUUGUCAUAAUGGCUCCAGGUUUUUUGAAGGAAUAACUUCACUAGAGUUGCACUCUAUUUCCUUUGAAGGAAUUCAACUUCACUAGAGUUGAAUUCCUCUGUGUGCCCCUCCUAAAACUAUUUCCCUCCUCACCUUCUUCAGAAGAGUCUUCUUUGUAUGUACACUUAGAUGCAUAUACUUUAUAUGUAUUAUUUUUAAAUAAUUUAUAAACUUAUUUUUGGAUGACUUAAACUUUAUAUAAAUGAUAACAUAAUGUACAGAGCCUUUUGCCCUCUCCAUACGAUUUUUGAGAAUGAUCCAAAUGGCUCCAAUUGACACUUAUAGGUCAUUUUAUUUUGUUUUAUUUUGUUUUUACUGCAAAAUACUAUUUCAUCGUGUGACUUUAAUAUGAUUUUAAAACAAUUUCAUGUUCACGUACAUUCAAGUUGUUUCAUUUUUCCCUGUUUGCAAAUGAUGCCGAAGAGAACAUUUCUGGACAUAACCUUCUUAUGUACAUACUGCUACUUGGCUAUUCCAUUUUGAUAAUCUGUUAGUAAAUUGACAGAUAAUUACCAAAUACCCUAUGUGCACAGGUGUGGGACUUUCUCAAAAUUAGAUAAAAUUCCUGUUCUUAAUAAACUUAUAAUCAUAGUUUAACCUUGUAUAUAUUUAUAAAUCAGAAUAACUCUAAUAUAUGAUAGCUUAAUUUCAUUUAUCAUUUUACUAAAUUUAAAUUUAUUUCUAAAACAGAGGUGUUGUCAAUGUCAUUGCUUAAUUAUUUCCCUCAAAAUUUGGUUUUGGUAAUCUUCCAAAGUGCACAGGCAGGUAUGAAUGACUGAGUUACAGCUUUAUCUCCAGGAGAAUAUUGUGUUAAAGAGCCAUCCUGAAUUUCUAUCACUGUCACUUGCUUGGUUAAUGAUUUAUUAAAUACAUCAGAGCAAUUACAAAACUGAGAUUAAAAAAAAGUGUUAUUUACUAUAGUCCAAGUAAUUUAUUAAAUUUUUUUAUGUUUAUCUAUUUUUGAGAGAGAGACAGAGCAUGAGCAGGAGAGGGGCAGAGAGAGAGGGAGACACAGAAUCCGAAGCAGGCUCCAGGAUCUGAGCUCUCAGCACAGAGCCCAAUGCGGGGCUCAAACCCAUGAGAUCAUGACCUGAGCCAAAGUCAGAUGCUCAACUGACUGAGCCACCCAGGCACUCCUUAAGUAAUUUAAAUCACUCUUUAAGAGAUGUAUUUUGGGAAAAGUCAGACGGGCAGGCACAUGACAUGAUAAGGAUAAAGAUCAGUGUAAGCUGAUAACUUCUAAUGGGAAAUAUAUACAGAGCUUUUGAAUUGCAUUUCAAAUCACUCAUUUUUCCAGCAUUUAUUGUAUGCAACAAAUGCAUAAGCGGUUAGCUGAAACAGGUAGCUCAAAAAUAUUUUAACAUUUUUUAUCUAAACAAAUGUCAGAAUUUUUUUGAAAAUGAAAAAUGCUAAAUAUAAUAAAAGUGUAUAUUUAUGCUCUCGGCAGCCAAAUGUGCUUUUUAAUGGAAUUUAAAUAAAUGGAAUUUUUAUGACAAAAAAAGCAACAGUAAAAGCAGUGAUUAUGUUUUUCAUAGUUCAUUUGCCGUCUUUGCCCUGCAGACCUUGUGUGGAAGAAAAUGAGAUCCCGAGUGAAGUCUACAAUGUCAUUGACUCUGAAGAAGGACUCAGAGACCCAUUGGUGUUUAAUGACCCUUACUGGCCUAUGCAAUGGGAACUGGUAUGAUCUUCAGAAAUAGAUGGUUCUUUGGCAAUGUUAAGAAAUAUUAUUUUUGUCAUAUUUUAAUGCAGUAGACAGACACUUUUAUGCACUGCCUGCUUUUAUCUAUUGGUUUUGCAGAGAGAGACUUAGCAAACUUUUGAUGAAAUAUUACUGCCAGCUUAUUAAUGAGUACUAAUCCUUUUAAUUUGAUUACAUCCUUAGGGUUUGAUUUGUUCUAUAAAAGAUACCAGUUUAAAAAAAAAAAACUAAGACAUUUAAAUUUGCUGUAUGUAAACAGACUCAUUACACAGAAAUGUUGUUGCC
rnacentral:lncRNA from 1 species